rnacentral:rRNA from 1 species
GGGUCAGUAGGUUGGUCGUGCCACCGGUACGUACUGGUCUCACUGAUUCCUCCUUCCUGAAGAACCGUAAUGCCAUUAAUUUGGUGUUGCGGGGAAACAGGACUGUUACUUUGAAAAAAUUAGAGUGUUUAAAGCAAGCUAACGAGUGAAUACAUUAGCAUGGAAUAAUGAAAUAGGACGAUCGAUCCUAUUUUGUUGGUUUCUAGGAUUGACGUA